rnacentral:rRNA from 1 species
UACAGAGGUCUCGAGCGUUAGGCGGAAUCACUGGGCUUAAAGCGUGUGUAGGUGGAUGCCUAAGUACCUUGUGAAAUCCCACAGCUUAACUGCAGAACUGCCGUGGAUACUAUCUAUCUUGAAUAUCGUGGAGGUUUAGCGGAAUAUGUCAUGUAGCGGUGAAAAUGCUUUAGAUAUGACAUAGAAACACCCCAUUGCGAAGGCAGCUAACUACGCGAUCAUUGACGCUGAUGCACGAAAGCGUGGGGAUCAAACAGGA